rnacentral:rRNA from 1 species
CAGCCGCCGCGGUAAUACGGAGGGUGCGAGCGUUAAUCGGAAUUACUGGGCGUAAAGGGUGCGUAGGUGGUUGAUUAAGUUAUCUGUGAAAUUCCUGGGCUUAACCUGGGACGGUCAGAUAAUACUGGUUGACUCGAGUAUGGGAGAGGGUAGUGGAAUUUCCGGUGUAGCGGUGAAAUGCGUAGAGAUCGGAAGGAACACCAGUGGCGAAGGCGGCUACCUGGCCUAAUACUGACACUGAGGCACGAAAGCGUGGGGAGCAAACAGGAUUAGAUACCCCCGUAGUCCCUGUCUCUUAUAC